AUGGCUAAUUUCUAUAGCUCUUUUCAGUUGUUUCGUGUCAACUCUGUCCCUUGUCCCUAUGCAGACUUGCGACCUCAUUUCCCCUCUGCAGCUGCUGAUAGCAUUGGAGCACAAACACAACAGAUUAGUUGUGAUAUGGGCAGCCAGAUGCAAAUUCUUUUACAUGUGAGGUUGAGCUGUGCAUAUGCUUCUCUGCUAUUUCAGGCUUUCUCUGAAUCAGCACUGGUAUAUCAUGAUCCACCUACACAAGUUUUCUGAUCUAUUAUAUAAAGGAAAAUAGGAAGAUAGACGCUUUUGAACUCUGGUGCUGGAGGAAAAUCCUGAGAGUGCCUUGGACCGCAAGAAGAUCUAACCAGUCCAUCCUCCAGGAAAUAAUACCCGGCUGCUCACUGGAGGGAAGGAUAUUAGAGGCAAAGCUGAAUUAUUUUGGCCACAUCAUAAGGCGACAGGAAAGCUUUGAAAAGAUCACGAUGCUGGGGAAAAUGGAAGGAAAAAGGAAGAGAGGCCGAUCAAGGGCAAGAUGGAUGGACGGUAUCCUUGAAGUGACUGGCUUGACCUUGAAGGAACUGGGGGCGGUGAUGGCCGACAGGGAGCUCUGGCAUGGAUUGGUCCAUGAGGUCACGAAGAGUCGGAGACGACUAAAUGACUGAGCAGCAGCAAUUGGCUAUGUGGGCAAGUAAUUAUGCCAGCAAUUCCUAAACUUUGGUCAUCCAGGUAUUUUUGACUUCCACUUCCAGAAUUUCUGUGUAUUAACCACAGAAAUUCUGGGAGAGGACCAACAUUUUGGAAGCACUGAAUUUUGCAAUUUUCAUAUUUAUGCUAAAUGUGGAAACUUCUAGGUUGUAAUCCCUGUAAAAAAAUUAGUAUAGAUGAUGCAUGUUCACAACAAAGAAUGAGAAUAAUCUUUACUUUCAUUUUUAUGAUAAAAUCUGUAUAAACAUGUUCUGUCUAAAUAUAGUUAUUUAUGGUAUAAUGUUAGGUAGACUUCCAUUGUAGUUUGUAGUUUGGUGAGGCAUCAACACAAUCUGGCAGAGAAGGCUAGAAACUUUGUAAAAUUGCAAUGCCCAUGAUUCCAUAGCAUUUAUCCAUGACAAUUAACAAUCUACCUUGUACUGGAAAUACGAUUGAUAUAUGUUAAGCACAGACAUCCUAGCAUGGUAUGGUAGUAGUUGCUGAUGUUAUGCUAUUACGUAAUUGGGCAAAUAGGCUUUACUUAGUAAGGUUAAGAAUGCAUGCCAUGUCUUUUGUCUAGGACCUUAUCACAUUAACAUAUGGAUUCACCAUGCAUUGUGACAAAUCCAUGGGAUCCCGGCAGGGAGCAUGGACAACCCGUCACCCCACAUCGCCCAACUUACCUUAGGCCCAUCCCAUGGGGGGAAGCAUUUGCAGCCCGGCUUCCCCCCCCCCAUUGUUGCAAAUGCAACAUGGGAAGUCUCCCAUGUCACCACAGCAGUGGCAUACACCCCUUCCUCUCCCUUUUUGCCAUGAUGUCCUGUCAGAAGUAGAUGUACGUGGUGUAAUGGGUUCCAUGGCAAAAAGGGGAGAGGAACCGGCAUAUGAUGGGUAAAUUAGCUUGUAUGAUGAGGUUGUAAGUUUUCAGAGAUGUUAGAGUGGUCUAUCAGAGUCUCUUGGUUUUAUUAUAUUUCUGCCCUACUUCUGACCAUUUCAGAUAACGGGCAUGGAAGAAUGUUAAUUUAUCCCAAACUUUAAACAAUUUAAAUGCUUAAAGUGUAAUUAGUUAUCAUUAUUGUUUUAAGACAAAUAAACUGAUUACAUUCCACCAGAACAACGUAGAAACUCAGUCUGACUCUUAAAGGAAUAACUUUUGUUGUUGCCCACCCAUUGUUCUUACAAUCUGGCCAAAAAAAUAGCUUAAGUAAUCCUUACUCCAGGAAAGGCCAUCAGCCAAAUACCAGCUAGAAUGUGAUAAAAAAUUGUGAUAUUAAGAAUUCAGGUCUGAAUUGUGUGUGAGAGAGUCUGUGUUUACCUGUAUGAAAUACUUCAAAAGACUCCUUUGUUAAAAGAGAGCAAACACUUAGAAUAGCCUGUUCUGUCACUGAAUGAUGUUGCUUUGGAUGCAGAAAAAAAUGUCAACAUGUAACAGUACAUUUGCAUCCUUUAAUAGUACAGUUUAGAAUUGGGCCAUUUCAUUCUGAGCAAGUUUUGAAACCAUCCAUGCUCAGAUGAAUAGCUGUUUCAACCCACUUCCACUUUCAAGACUGUGGCUGUUUUGUUUCUUUAUUGGUACCGGAGACAUGCAUUUAACACCAUUUUACUGAAGUGUUAAAUGAAGCACAACUUGUAAGGAGGAGCCAGCACAAUAAGUUUAUUUUUCAUGCUGCUGUGAGUGCUUUAUGAAAAUUUAAACAGGCAGUGUCAGAGGGUUGUAAUUUUUUUUAACUUUCUUUAUUUACAGCUCCCAAGAUGAUUUUGUUUAAAAGAUAUGUAGACAUAGCAAAUCACUGCCAGCACCUCAUAAUCUCAGCAAGCUGUAAAACAACGUUUUAAAAUUCAUGGAAGCCCAUUGACUAGACCUUGUUUUGCUUUAUAACAGAUGUGCACAUAGACUCAAAUAACAAACAAUCAUCACUUCUACAUUAAAUACCAUCAGAAUGUAUUCGUGAGAUUACCAAAAGCUCUGAGAUAAAAUCAAAGUCUAUACAUGAUGUCCACAAAUUAACAAAUUAUUUUCACAAAAUGAUGCAGUUUGGGCAACAUAGUCUCUUGAAUAAAAAGACCUCAAGAUUUGAGUCUCACUAAUCCAAGCCUCGCUUAUCCAAGCCUCUGGAUAAUCCAAGCCAUUUUUGUAGUCAAUGUUUUCAAUAUAUCAUGAUAUUUUGGUGCUAAAUUCGUUAAUACAGUACAUAGCAUUACUACAUAUUGAACUAUUUUUUUCUGUCAAAUUUGUUGUAUAACAUGAAGUUUUGGUGCUUAAUUUGUAAAAUCAUAACCUAAUUUGAUGUUUAAUAGGCUUUUCCUUAAUCCCUCCUUAUUAUCCAAGAUAUUCGCUUAUCCAAGCUUCUGCCAGCCCGUUUAGCUUGGAUAAGUGAGACUCUACUGUACUAACAAAACUUGAUUUACUGGAGACUUCUGAAACCCCUCCCAAGGCAAGAAGUUCCACAUAUGAGAUCAUUCUUGCUUAUCCAGAGCAUCUGUCAUAUGAGCUAGAACCUCUCCAAAGAUGUACAAAAACAAGGAUUCCAACAGGUAUCUGCAGGACAUAGACAAACGGUUAAAGUCCAUGUUGAUAAAAAUGUUGCUUCAAACAUGGGGUGAGAAUGUAGGAAUUUGGUAUAGAUCUUGACACCUCCUUGUGAUGAAUGGUGGGGUUCUGGAAUGACCACUCUGGAUUCAGGGACCUGUCAGGUUGUGAAGAAAUUUGCCCUUGGAGCUAAACUUGGAGGGUUUCUCUCUCUUAUGGAAGAAAGUGUUCCUUUUUGACUGUCCAAUGUUUUUUUUUUUCCGUGUCAAGAGCAACUGGAGUUGCUUCUGGAGUGAGAGAAAUGGCUGUCUCCAAGGACGUUGCCCAGGGGACGCCAGGAUGUUUUGAUGUUUUUACCAUCCUUGUGGGAGGCUUUUCUCAUGUCCCCGCAUGGAGCUGGAGCUGAUAGAGGGAGCUCAUCCGUGCUCAUCCGUGGGAUUCGAACCUGGCAGCCUUCAGGUCAGCAAUCCAACCUUCAAGUCACAAGGCUUUUAUCCCCUAGGCCAUCGGAGGCUCCUUUCCAAUAAAUGACUGGCUGGAAUAAGCAACCCAUAGCUUUGGAUUGACAUUGGGGUUAAGAGUUCCACCCAAUUGAUAGUCCAAAGAAGUGGUUACAAGUUGGCAAGUGGUGUCAAAUAUACUUGCAUCAGGUUGCUUCCCAUGUUGCUCACCCCCAGGGACAUCUCAGUUAAAUAAAUUACAGGUUAAAUAAAAUGUCUCUGUUUAACCCAAUUGUCUGUGUCUGGUCUCAUUAUUCAGGCUUGAUCAUAAAUGUAAUAUGCAUUUAGCCAUGCUGCUUCUCAGUAGCCAAACAGCAGCAUUCAGA
ensembl:lncRNA